rnacentral:tRNA from 1 species
GAUGGGAUAGCUAACUCGGUAAAGCACCAGACUGUUAAUCUGCGACAUUAGGGUUCAAAUCCCUAUCCCAUCGCCA